rnacentral:tRNA from 1 species
GCUUUCAUAGCUCAGUUGGUUAGAGCACCCGUUUAGUAAGCGGGAGGUCUUGAGUUUAAAUCUCAAUGAAAGCA